rnacentral:misc_RNA from 1 species
CUGAAAUCUAUCCUGAAGGUCAGGAAAUUCAAGAAAUUCCAGCACUAGCAAUGACUUGCGGUUGAGUUCAAACUUUCUCACUUCAGGCUUGGACAAUGAGGAUUGCAUUUCUGGAAGCAGAAUCUUCAAAACAAAGAAAAGCAUUUAUUUAUGAGAUGUUGAUCAACUCAGGACAAAAUGUACCCAUCUGUAAUAUAUAUCCCUAAAUUGCAUAUAUCUUUGUCUAUAUCCAC